UUAUACAGAGUUCAAGUAAGGAGUGGUUUACAAAAGAGAAUAAUAGAAAACAGAGCAUGCAGUCAACUAGUAACCAUCAAUUUUUGGAUGGAGAUGAAAAGAGUAUACUUUUAGACAACUUUAAGAAAAGCAACACCGAACCAAAAUCUACGAAUACAAGCAAAUGACGAUCUUCAGAUAGAAGUUCUAAGUCUACGAAAUAAUUUCAUUAAAUAUCCUACGUUUGAAACUUUUUUAAACUACUCUUCAAAGUUAAAGGAUCUCUCAAAAAUAGAAAACACCAAAGAAAUAAGCUGGGACAUGCUAUCAGCCUUUGUUUUUGUCUCUUCUAUUCACUCCACGACAGGAUAUGGAAAUAUAGUACCUCAGACGUUAGGGGGUAAAGUAUGCGCCACAGUUUAUGCUAUUUUCGGGAUUCCUAUGUUUGUAUGGUAUAUUAUUCAACUCCGAGAUAUUUUUCGAAUCCUUCUCAUGAGGGUUAUUUACGGGGGUGUAAAUAUAUUCAGAAAACUUUGCCUAAUUCAAAGAGAGAACGAUAACGUCAUAGACUUUCGAUGUUCUCUAUCGGACCUUCAUAAAAUGGAAACACGGAUAAUGUUCAAAAAAACUUAUUGCUAAUAAGCAUUUUACCUCCUGUGUCAUUUUCAUCAUACUUAUUGUCUACGUA
rnacentral:misc_RNA from 1 species